AUGGCUGCGAACACCCGGUCCGCCAGCUUGCUGCUGCGCUUGACGAUGCUGUUCUCACUUGCAGCUGCAGCGCCGCCACGCAGCAACGAGACCAGAGACGGCGGCGGCGGCAAGACGCUCAGCUUCACCCUGUACCAGCAAGAGACCAUCAACAAGACCGCCUACAUGGUCGUCGACGGCGUGGCGGGCGCCGGGGUCAGCCAGACCACCACGCCCUUCGGCACCGUCUACGUCUUCCGCGACAACCUGACGGUGCACGCCGACGGGGCCUCCCCGGUGGUCGGCGUGGCCGAGGGGACGUCCAUCACGACCAGCCUCGACGGGCUGCUGAGCCUGUCGUUGGCCAAGAUCACGAUCCACCACCGCGGCCACCGGGGCUCCGUGUCCGUCCUCGGGGGAACCCACAACACCAGGCAGUCUGACUACCCGGUGGUGGGCGGCACCGGUGACUUCGCGUACGCCUUGGGCUACGUCCGGUCGUCGCCGGUGGACCUGCGGGGAUCGACGGUCACGUACAAGAUGGAGCUCCGGUUGUACUGGCCCCCGUACGCCCCUUACGCCCCAACUCCGCAGUAG
rnacentral:rRNA from 1 species